GUAGCGGACCUCGCAGAUUACGAGAUCGUAUCCUUGCAUUAGGCUGUGCCCAUCACUGCUCUUCGAGGUUAUCUCGACAUGCAGAAGCCGCCAAUGCCAGUGACAGAAGAGUCUGACAUUAGAUCUCUACGCUAUGCGGCACACAGGCAGUACACACUAUGUACACGGCAAAUUGGGCAAGCACGUUCGUUGUCGUCUUCCAGCCUGCGUUGUGAAUACCAUCAGGCAAAGAUAUCCAAAUCCUGCACCACCUCAGCCUUCUCAGGAGGCUUCCACCUGGAAUUUGGCAGGGAAACACGCUUCUCCAAGGCAGGAACAUUGAGGUUGCCAUUUGCAACCGCUACCACCUCACACAUGAGCUUGUCAACAUACUCAUCGCUCUUUCUGUCGUAUAAUUUUCUAUUUGGCCACAGUCUUCUUUAUGCUUUGAGAACUGGACUUUAUACCUUCCUAUCGCGGUCUUUUUGGUUGUGCUGUGGCGACGGUUGACAUUGACGUCGUCAAGAGCUGCGAGAUGUGCGUGUCCAAUCAUCCCCAGAAUUGAGAAACGAAUGCGUUUGAGAAUGUAGUUUGGCAGGACACUGUGAUAUACCUGCAUGGCAAAAAGAAUGUGGAGAAAACACACUUGCUUAGACAAUAUACUGCUGUAUGAGAAAAUGGAAACUUCACCGUACAGGACGACUCUUGUUCUCAAUUGCAUUGUUCGUUUCAUUCCCUGUGUUGCCCAUAAGAGACGGGAGCAAAAAUGUUCAGCA